rnacentral:lncRNA from 1 species
GCUGGCUAAGAAUAGGAGCUUGUUUGAGGAUGUUUGGCAAUCUGUGCGGCUCACUCUUGAGAGGGCCUUACUACAGGCUAUUGAGAUUGUGCGUUGUACUUCGAUUGGCUCGACUUUGAUAACCUGAGAGAUCUGGGACUCUCUGACAGUAGCAGCAGCACCCUGAUUGGUAUUUAUCACUUGAAAACCCCCACCCCCUGGAUAUGUCAAGGUCAACUUCGAUGGUAGUAUCAG